rnacentral:tRNA from 1 species
UUAAUUAAAGCCAAAAAGAGGCAUUUCAUUGUUAAUGAAAAAAUUGGAUAAAUUCCUGAUUAAA